AGGUGUUGGAAGCCUGCAGGGAGCUGCAGGAGCUGAUUGACUGGAGCAGAUUUGCUGUGGCCAGAUGUUUUGUCCUGCUACGUUAAGUCAUCUUGACAUACUGCCAUGAAAUGGAAACAACUGCUAGUUUUAACAUUGCUCCAUAUCUUUAUUAAAAGAGUCAUCAAUCUCAUGAGAGUCAUCUUGCCAUCUGUACCAGCAUUGCUCCAGGCUUCCAUAUGAAAGUCCAAUCUGGCGGUAUAAAUACUGGAUAAUGAAGACAUUGGCAGAGUCUUUACUCUGCACACCACUGCUGACCCCAGAUAUGACCCACAGGAACUACUGGUGAAAGGAGCAAAAAGGGGAAAAGAAUUAUCUUCCUGAUGGUCUUGUGUCCUCUGUGCUGGAUCUGCAGUUGUUUUCCGCCUGUAAACUCGCCUCUUGUUGGUCAAGCUUUUCGGCAUUUAUUCAAAUAAAAUUCUUAGGCACUCAGUUGAGAUUGGUAAUUUUUUUGUUUUGCUUGGCAUAAGAACUGAAGAAAACAUGCCCAGAUCAGGGACCAGCCAACAUCCUCUUUAAUUGCAGCCAGCAGAACUGAUGUGCUUUGGAUACAGCUAACAAAUACUGGAGGCCUGAAGGAUACCAUUUGUUUUUCCUUCUCCUACUGACCUAGCCACUGGGACCGCUUCGCUCCCCUGCUCUGUGCAAGCAGGUAGGAACUCUGAGCUUCUCUUUACUCAGCUCAGGAAGAUGCAACGUCCUUUUCUAUUUGAAGCUGCUGAAUCUGCUAAAUACCAGGUUCACCACAUUACUAACACAUUGUUGAGCCUGAUCCUGCUAGAAGAAGCAUUUCAGAAGACAAUAUUUGGGCCACAUCAGGACUACAGUGUUGGCAAUGAAUAAGGUAGAGAAAAAAAUGGUGUUUUUGUAUCCUGAUGUGUAUCCUCUGUCCAAUACCAAUAGGCAUAUUACUGAUAAUAUGGCCAUAAUUCUGGUUAUAGUACAGUUCUCCUUGGCACUCCCAUUGUUCAUACUCCAGUCUCCCAAAUAAGUGAGGUUGAAUUAGGCUUAUUACUGUUUUUCACUCUUAGAUUACCCUCUUAGUGUACUGGACUCUAGCCCCUUUAAUUAAAAGCUUGUGAACAUGCAUCCCAUAAAUAAUUUCUCACCUUCACAGCUGUUUUUUUUUUUUUUGUAUAUAUAUUUUUUCUUUUAAAGCAGAGCUAGUUGAUGUUUUUGAGAAAACUCUUUUUCUCUUUUCCUACUGUUACCAGUCUCUUCACUUUUUCAGUUCUGGAAACACUACCAUGACUUAUUCAUUUUGCAAUCAUUGGGAC